ensembl:lncRNA
AGUGCAGCUGAAGCUUUGUGGAGGGUAAGGGAGCCUUGGAGGGUAUGCAGGAUUUUGAAGGUUGUUCUGAUAAUAAGCAUAAAUGUGUGCCCUUUGGAAGCAUGAGUGAGUAAGAACCCAGCCCAGCAGUCUACCUGACUGAGCAAAUUGGUAACCAAUUAUUCCUAAGUAAGAAGGCGACUACUUCAUGCUCAAGACUUAGAAUAUCAGUAUCUCUGUAUAAUUUUUGGCCUCUACCUCUGUAUUUGACGAGGUAUUUGGUGCUGAACUGCCAAGCAUUUCUUGAAGAAAAAUCCUGUCUGUAAAAAGAAUGAGGUGUGCUUAUUAACGGGUUCUGAUAUAAUUGUAGUCAAAUCCCCUCAGAACUAAAAUUAAGACUGUGUACAGCUACUUAUUUGGUAUUCCUAAAAGACUUCAGUGUUGAGAGCAUCCACUUAUGUUGUGAUUCUUCUGCUUCUCAAGUUAUUUAGCAGAACUCAUUUGGUUUGGAGAUUGGCUGUAGAUUUAAUAACAAACCGGUGUUGAGAAGAGCAGACUAUUUUGUUUACCACUGCUAGGUUGUGUAAGUGGUGUGACCUGGCAUCUUGUAUCAACUGAUGAAAUACCUCACCUGUAAUAUUUGCAUUUAAUCCAGCAGAGAGGUGGUGAUGGCAUAUGUAGCAAACAUUACGCUGACUGCAAUUAAGAAAGACAAC